GGCAAAUUGACAUCUCAUUCUUCUCCUGCAACACGGGGAACCAAGAUCAUUUUUGCUGCACUCAUGAAGUAAAAUCGGUUUCUGUACUGGAGUAAGAAUCAUCAUCGGCCGUGCAAUACAUCCUUUUCUUCUCUUCCUCCCACAUUAGAACUUCCCGUAUAUACCUAAAUGUUUCAUCGACAGAUGUACGUUCAAGUGCCCUGGUCGGCCAGACAAAAAGUUUUUUGCCUGUGAU
rnacentral:misc_RNA from 1 species